rnacentral:rRNA from 1 species
GACGUAGGUGGCGAACGUUAUCCGGAAUUAUUGGGCGUAAAGGGUGCGUAGAUGGUGUAGUAAGUUAUCGGUGGUAAAUCGAGGCUCAACCUCGUGGAAGUCGGUAAUACUGUUAUGCUAGAGGAUAGGAGAGGUUAACGGAACUCCCUGUGGAGCGGUGAAAUGCGUAGAUAUAGGGAAGAACACCAAUAAAGGCGAAGGCAGUUAACUAUUCUAUUCCUGACAUUGAGGCAUGAAAGCGUGGGGAGCAAAACGG